AUUGAACGCUGGCGGCAUGCUUUACACAUGCAAGUCGAACGGUAGAGGGGGCAACCCCUUGAGAGUGGCGAACGGGUGAGUAAUGCAUCGGAACGUGCCCAGUCGUGGGGGAUAACGCAGCGAAAGCUGUGCUAAUACCGCAUACGAUCUCUGGAUGAAAGCGGGGGACCGAAAGGCCUCGCGCGAUUGGAGCGGCCGAUGUCAGAUUAGGUAGUUGGUGGGGUAAAGGCUCACCAAGCCAACGAUCUGUAGCUGGUCUUAGAGGACGACCAGCCACCCUGGGACUGAGACACGGCCCAGGCCCCUACGGGAGGCAGCAGUGGGGAAUUUUGGACAAUGGGCGCAAGCCUGAUCCAGCAAUGCCGCGUGCAGGAAGAAGGCCUUCGGGUUGUAAACUGCUUUUGUACGGAACGAAAAGGUCUGGGUUAAUACCCUGGGCACAUGACGGUACCGUAAGAAUAAGCACCGGCUAACUACGUGCCAGCAGCCGCCGUAA
rnacentral:rRNA from 1 species